GAGGUUGUAGCUCAGUCGGUAGAGCAACGGACUUUUAAUCCGUAGGUCCGGGGUUCGAGCCCCCGCAACCUCA
rnacentral:tRNA from 1 species